rnacentral:rRNA from 1 species
UACCUGGUGGCGACCGGCGCACGGGUGCGUAACGCGUAUGCAACCUGCCCCCAUCAGGGGGAAUAGCCCGCCGAAAGGCGGAUUAAUGCCCCAUAGGCCCAGGGCGCCGCAUGGCGCUAUGGGUAAAGCUCCGGCGGAUGGGGGAUGGGCAUGCGUGCCAUUAGCUAGUUGGGGCGGUAACGGCGCACCAAGGCGACGAUGGCUAGGGGGUCUGAGAGGAUGGUCCCCCACACUGGUACUGAGACACGGACCAGACUCCUACGGGAGGCAGCAGUGAGGAAUAGUUGGUCAAUGGGCGGAAGCCUGAACCAGCCAUGCCGCGUGCAGGAUGACGGCCCUACGGGUUGUAAACUGCUUUUCCCCGGGAAGAAUAAGCCCCUCGUGAGGGGUGAUGCCGGUACCGGGGGAAUAAGGAUCGGCUAACUCCGUGCCAGCCGCAGC